UACGUAGGGGGCAAGCGUUGUCCGGAUUUACUGGGCGUAAAGAGCGUGUAGGCGGCCACGCAGGUCCGUUGUGAAAACUGGAGGCUCAACCUUCAGACGUCGACGGAAACCGUAUGGCUAGAGUCCGGAAGAGGAGAGUGGAAUUCCUGGUGUAGCGGUGAAAUGCGCAGAUAUCAGGAAGAACACCAAUGGCGAAGGCAGCUCUCUGGGACGGUACUG
rnacentral:rRNA from 1 species